rnacentral:rRNA from 1 species
AGAUUGAACGCUGGCGGAAUGCUUUACACAUGCAAGUCGAGCGGCAGCGCGGGGCAACCUGGCGGCGAGCGGCGAACGGGUGAGUAAUGCAUCGGAACAUGUCCAUUCGUGGGGGAUAGCCCGGCGAAAGCCGGAUUAAUACCGCAUACGCCCUGAGGGGGAAAGCGGGGGACUUCGCAAGAGGCCUCGCGCGAAUGGGUUGGCCGAUGUCCGAUUAGCUAGUUGGUGGGGUAAAGGCUUACCAAGGCGAUGAUCGGUAGCUGGUCUGAGAGGAUGAUCAGCCACACUGGGACUGAGACACGGCCCAGACUCCUACGGGAGGCAGCAGUGGGGAAUUUUGGACAAUGGGGGCAACCCUGAUCCAGCCAUUCCGCGUGAGUGAUGACGGCCCUAGGGUUGUAAAGCUCUUUUGUGCGGGAAGAUAAUGACGGUACCGCAAGAAUAAGCCCCGGCUAACUUCGUGCCAGCAGCCGC